UACGGGGGGGGCAAGCGUUGUUCGGAAUUACUGGGCGUAAAGGGCUCGUAGGUGGCCAACUAAGUCAGACGUGAAAUCCCUCAGCUUAACUGGGGAACUGCGUCCGAUACUGGCAGGCUUGAAUCCGGGAGAGGGAUGCGGAAUUCCAGGUGUAGCGGUGAAAUGCGUAGAUAUCUGGAGGAACACCGGUGGCGAAGGCGGCAUCCUGGACUGGCAUUGACGCUGAGGAGCGAAAGCCAGGGGAGCAAACGGG
rnacentral:rRNA from 1 species